rnacentral:tRNA from 1 species
UGGCCGGAAUUUAAAAAUGUGACAACCUGACUUUUAAUCAGGGUGUCACAGGUUCGAGACCUGUACGGCCUA